UGAUAACAUAAAAGACAAAUAUGAUUGUCCUCUUCUUUCUUCUUCUUCUCCUUUUUUUUCUUUCUUUGUUUUUUUGCUUUGUUCCUUUUUUUUUUCCCCUUUCAAUCGACCAAAACGAUCUUCUCGUUUGCAAUUGAAGAAGAAACGACGGCGCCAUAUGUUUCCACGCGUGGCGCCACUUCUCCCAACGUUUAAUGCAAACGAUAACUUACAUACUCUUCAAUUACUCGACAGACAGACAGACAGACAGACAGACAGACAGACAGAGAGGGAGAGAGAAGAAAGGAAAAAGCAACAACAACAACAACAACAACAACGACUACGACGACGUCGACGAAAAAGAGAAGCGAACAAGUCACUCCUGCCUUCGUGAAUACGAUCGUGAUUGGGAUUGCGAUGCGGAUACAGUGAUCCAGCGCGAGAUAUCGAUUUCUUUGCUUGUCUCUACUGAGAAAGCGUAACGAGCGUUGACGAGUUAACGCGCAGUAUAUUCCGCUACAACCCGCAUUAAUAUAUACGUAAGUAACAUACGUACUUACGUACAGUCUGCGGAUGACCUCCGAAGACGCAGAUCGUGGGUCUUGGCAAGCGACCUCGAGUGCCCUCGAGGUAAACUCUCGAAGGUAACUCGAAAGAAGGAGAAGAGAACGAAGAAUGAAGAGAAGAGGAGAGGAGUGAAGAGAAGAGGAGAAGAGAGUUCAAGGAGGCGAGAGAGAUUCAAACGAGUUCCAUCCUAUUUCGUCCAUUUUUUUUUUCUUCUCCGCCAUAUAUUUUCGAUCGAACGAAGCGACUGUUAAAUGGCAAUUAAGGGAUCAACAUGUGGUUACUUACUUUUUACAACCUGUGGGCGCAACCCGAAAAAAAAAAAGGAGAAUCCAUGUUCCAUGGUUUGGCCAUGGAUAAACCGAAGAGAGGCGGAAAUUAAGUGAAGGGUUUUAUAGAGCCAUGCGACAUUCCUGAGAAACCGAAAGGAUCGAGAAACAGAGAGAGAGAGAAAGAGAGAGAGAGAGAGAGAGAGAGAGAGAGAGAGAGAGAUUGAAAGUCGAGGACAUUAAACUCUACCCGUUGCCACGAUUUUCGAUUAUUUCCCUUUUUCUUAAUCCCAAACCUGAGAAUUCUUUGGUUAUUCGCAAACCUCCUUGCCGAUUCCCUUCUGACGAUAAAAAUCACGGUCGUCGCGGAAGAGUCAAAAAUAUCAUCGGUUUCGAUCAGAUAAGAAAGGAAAGAAAGAAGGAAAGAAGGAAGGAAGGAAGGAAGGAAGGAAGGAAGGAAGGAAGGAAGGAAGGAAGGAAGGAAAGGAAGAAUGAAAAGGAUUACUUGGAACUCCUUCGAGUUCUUCGUUUGAAAUAUUUCCAUUUGGUAUGAGAGAACCAAACAUAACUAAAAAUCUUGCUUGGCAAUGGUGUUGAGAGGUUGACUCGAGGUCGGUAGAGGUUGGAUGAGAGGUGUUAGGGAUGAGAGAGGUAAAGAGGGAUAAGGUGGCGCGAACAAGUACGAAGGAUGCUGUGAGAGAUGGAGAGAGAGAGAGAGAGAUAGAAAAAAGGAAAGAAAGAGAUAGAGAGAUAGAGAGAGAGAGAGAGAGCGAGAGAGAGAGAGGAUGUAAUCUUCAAAGAACGAAAACGGUCUCCCUCGUAUUUGCUCGGCUGAUUCAUAGGCGCGAGGCGCGUCUGUCUCUUCUUCUUCUUCUUCUUCUUCUUCUUCUUCUUCUAACACACCAAGACCGCGGACCUAUCAAUAGCCCCUCAUGUACACUCGACAGAGGGACUGUCAUUCCACCCAACUCUAAAAAUAGAGUUCGCGCGUUCGUCCAUAAGCUCUUCCUGCGACUAUACCCACGGACAACAUUUCCCUUCUCUCUCUCUCUCUCUCUCUCAUUCCUUUUUUUCUGCUCAUUUUCUAUCUUUCUAGCUUAACACGCCUACAUACAUAUAUAUAUAUAUAUAUAUAUAUAUAUAUAUAUAUAUAUGCACAUAUACAUAAGUACAGAGAUAAGUACAUAGAGACGAGCAUGCACGGGUCUCUUAAAAUUUAAUUUAAAUAUAGUACAUUUUAUUUGUCUCACGUUUUAAUCGUGACGAAUCGAAAUCGAAAUACACAACGUGGCCGCUGUAUAAACGUCUCGGAGAUCAAGGGGCGAAGGGAAAUGGUCAGAAAGGGAUGAUGGAGGGACGGAAGGAGAGGGGAAAAAACGUAGGAACUAAAUUAAAGGCUUCUUCUAUUACUGAUAGUAGUCAAGGACAUCUUAUAAGAAGAUCGAUAGAAUUGAACUCUAUUAAAAAUGAUCGCAAGCACGGUAGGAUACAACGAUCGAUCUAUGGAUCUAUCGAUCUAUCUAUCGAAUUCAUGCAAAUGCACACGGAAAAAGAGAGAGGAAGAGAAAAAGAGAGAGAGAGAGAGAGAGAGAGUGUGUGAAGAUCGAAUUAAGUGCAUUCCUUUUCUUUUCUGCCUUUAUUUUUAUUUGUUUAUUUGUUUGUUUGUUUUCUUUUUUUUAAUCGCAAACAACGAAAUAUUAUGUUAUAGUUGAUAUAAUCAGUAUGAUAUGUUUACAGAAGAAAAUUAUCUCCUCGAGAUUAUAGAGUUUCUAGAUGUUUAAUGAGAACGGAAAGGACGAUUAAGAUACUAAACACUAAGAUUAUUCAAGUAGGCGCUUGAGAAUCGACUCCAAAGAGUGGUUAUAUACGUGUGUGUGUGUGUAUGUGUGUAUGUGUGUGUUUGUGUGUGCGUGUGUGUGCGUGUACGUAACUGAUAGAUAACUUUAUUGACUGGUCGCAUUACCAUACGGU